UGUAACCAAUUCCUCAUAGCCACAAGGCAUAUGACGGUAUGAGCUGAAAACACCAUAAUUCAAAACUCGCAUUAAAUUCGAUUUCGCGCUUUUGCAGAACUCCCCCUCUGAACCUCUCUCUGAAUAACCAUGGAUUAUCAUAGUCUAACAAGAAAGGAACUACAAUUUCUGUGUAAGAAGAAUAAGAUCAGAGCUAACAUGACUAAUUUCGCAAUGGCUGAUACCCUUUCUUCUCUCCCCAAGGUUCAUGGAGUUGAAGGCAAUCGAAACUUCACACCAGAGACUCCAACACUCACCAGCACCAGCAGGAAGAGUAAAGCAACUGCAACAAAACCGCUAUCUUAUCUGGAUAACAGUGAACCAAUGUCUUCUAAUGGUGAUCUUGCUAGACAUACUCUUUCACCCUUAACAAACUUGUACCCCUCAGAUAUUAAUAUACCCAAAGAGGUCCACGUUGUUGAUCAUCCACAUGGUACAAGGCUAGCAAAAAGAUUGAAGUUGUCUGCUCAGAAGGUAGGAGGAAGAAAUGAUGCUAUUAACAUUGAAAUGUUGCCUGGCGAAGACAAGAAUGAGGAGAUGAGAACGAAGUAUGAAGUAAAUGAUGAUGUCUUACCGUACAACGAGGGAAAUAGGAUCAAGGUUUCUAAUGAAGAACAAGACGAAGUUGGUACUGGAGAUGUAUCUUAUAUAAUGGUCUGUGCUGAAUCUUUGAAGUUGGAAGAAUUUACAGUUCAUUUAAAUGGUGAUCAAGAUGCUAUUAUCGAAGAAACCUCUAGUACAUCGAUCAUGGGUGGGGUCUCCGGGGAUAAAACUGGUUGUUCUCUUAGUGGAUGCAGUUCUGAAGUCUCUUAUGCUCCUAGGGUAUCUGCUAAAAAAUCCUUGAACAUAACUCGUACUCUUGUUGGAUGCACAUCUGACAUCUCUUCUGCUCCAAUGGUAUCUAAACCCGUGAAAGUUGUUUGUGAUCUUAAUGAAACUUAUUUAAUGGGUGAGGAAACUAUGAACAUUAAAGAUCCAAAUGAAGAUCAAAACAUGGAAAGUAAAGAUGAACCCAUACAAGUCAAUGAACCUUCUCUAACAGUGGAGAAAACUGAAAUUUUCGAAGCUUCAAAUCUUGAUGAUCAGAAGAGCAAGCUCAUGUGUGAUAUUGAGCUCUGCAAUGUCAAGGUAACUGAAGCUGAAAGAGAGAACAUUUCUAAUGGUAAUGAUGACAUUUCAGAUGCUGCUGAGAAGUUAUCCUUCUCUCCAUCAGUCACUGGUUUAACUGCCAACCAGAUUCCAGUAUAUGUUGCAACUCCUACCAGAACAACCACAUCGGAUGAUAAGGUUCAAGAGACAACCCCCUUAAUCUCACAUACUACAUCGAUCAUGGGUGGGGUUCCCAGGGAUAAAAUUGGUUGUUCUCUUAAUGGAUGCAGUUCUAAAGUCUCCUAUGCUCCUAGGGUAUCUGCUAAAAAAUCCUUGAACACAGCUCGUACUCUUGUUGGAUGCACAUCUGACAUCUUUUCUGCUCCAAUGCUAUCUAAAUCCGUGAAAGUUGUUUGUGAUCUUAAUGAAACUUAUUUAAUGAGUGAGGAAACUAUAAACAUUAAAGACUCAAAUGAAGAUGAAGACAUGGAAAGUAAAGAUCAACCCGGACGAGUCAAUGAACCUUCUCUAACAGUGGAGAAAGCUGAAAUUUUGGAAGCUUCAAAUCAUGAUGAUGAGAAGAGCAAGCUCAUGUGUGAUAUUGAGCUCUGCAAUGUCAAGGUAACUGAAGUUGAAGCGAAGAACAGUUCUAGUGGUAAUGAUGACAUUUCAGAUGCUGCUGAGAAGUUAUCCUUCUCUCCAUCAGCCACUGGUUUAACUGCCAACCAGAUUCCAGUGUAUGUCGCAACUCCUACCAGAACAACUACAUUGGAUGAUAAGGUUCAAGGGACAACCCCCUUAAUCUCAUAUACUAAGAAGAAAGAAGUUACAAUUCCUAUCAUAUCUGCCGGGAAGUCCAUGAACAUUGCUCGUGCUUGUGUUGGAUGUACUUCUGAAUUGUCCUCUGCUCCUACAAUAUCUGCCGAGAAAUCCAUGAACAAUGCUCUAGUUCGUUGUAAAACUUCUCUAGUGGGGGAGGAAACUGAAAACAUUAAGGUCCCAAAUGAACAAAACAUGGAAAUUAUGGAUCAACCCAUAGAAAUCAAUGAAGUUGUUGGAUUUAAAAGCGCUCAUAAUUUAGAAGUGAAGUUCAUCAAUGAGGAUGAACUUAGUAAUCUCAAGGGCACCGAAGUUGAAACGAAAUAUGUUGAUGAAUCUUUUCUAAUGGUGAAGAAGGCUGAAAAUUUGGAAGACUCAAAUGUUGAUGAUGGGAAGAUUAAGUUCACAUGUGAGGUUGGGUUCUGUGGUGUCAAGGUCACUGAAAUUGAAGAGGAUAGUGAGGAGGACGGUCCUAAUGUUAAUAAUGACAUUUCAGAUGUUCUUGAGAAGUUCUCCCUCUCUCCGUCAGCCACUGGUCCAGUUGUGAACCCGAUUCCAGUGCAUGUCGCAAGUCCUACUAGAGCAACUGCGUCCGAGAAUCAGGUUCAGGAAACAACUCCCUUAAACUCAUUUAUUACGAAAAAAGCAGUUACAACUCCAAAAGGUUCCAUCGAGGUUUUGGAUGACAUGAGGGGGAUCAAUGAAAGAGGCAAAUGCAGUGCAAGUACUUCUAAGGUGGUAACUGAGUUAGAAGCUGAACUAAAGCAUAGCAAAGGUGAAAACAGUUCUCAAGGAAAACUGAAUUCCACAAGUAUAAGACAGUUGAAAAGGAUGAUUAAACUUACUCAUUCAGAAAAUAAAAACGCCACUGUCGAUCAAAACAAGGAAAUAAGACCUGAAGAGCAUGAGAACGAAGGUCAAAACACUCUCCAGAGGAAGGUUGGGUUCUGUGAUGUCAAGGUCACUGAAGUUGAAGAGGACAGUGAGGAGGUCGGUUUUAAUGUUAAUAAUGACAUUUCAGAUGUUCUUGAGAAGUUCUCCCUCUCUCCGUCAGCCACUGGUCCAGUUGUGAACCCGAUUCCAGUGCAUGUCGCAAAUCCUACUAGAGCAACUGCGUCCGAGGAUCAGGUUCAGGAAACAACUCCCUUAAUCUCAUUUAUUACGAAAAAAGCAGUUACAACUCCAAAAGGUUCCAUCAAGGUUUCGGGUGACAUGAGGGGGAUCAAUGAAAGAGGCAAAUGCAGAGCAAGUACUUCUAAGGUGGUAACUGAGUUUGAAGCUGAACUAAAGCAUAGCAAAGGUGAAAACAGUUCUCAAGGAAAACUGAAUUUCACAAGUAUAAGACAGUUGAAAAAGAUGAUUAAACUUACUCACCCAGAAAACAAAAACGCCAUUGUCGAUCAAAACAAGGAAAUAAGACCUGAAGAGCAUGAGAACAAAGGUCAAAACACUCUCCAGAGGAAACUGAAAGCUACGAGUUUAAGACAGUUGAAAAAGACAGUUAAACAACUUAUUCAGUCAGACAAUGAAAACAUCAAUGUCAAAUUAAACAAAAAAGUUGUACCUGAAGACAACGAGGACAAGGAUCAAAACACUGCCGAAAGGGAACUGAAAGCUACAAGUGCAAGACAGUUGAUAAAGAUGAUUAAACAACGUACUCAAACAACAAAAACACCACUGCCAAGUCUAAUCUUGGCAGAAUAACCUGCAAGGGCCAGUGUUUUAGAAGUUACUAGAAGGCUGUGUGUGAGGUUUGGUGGUGCCGAAGGUGUAGUCUUCUCCAAACAUUUCUUUCCCAUCUCCAGAAACUUUGUAAAUGAGGCAGAAGUCGCUAGUGCAGUCGUGAGAAACUACAGGAUAUCCAUGAGAAGUUGCCUCGCUACUGCAGAACACAAAUCUCUUACCCAGAAUAUCAACCAGGAAAGAAGAAGGAUGAAGGAUCAUUCCGAAAAACUCUUUAUAUGAUGAAUAAGUGCAGUUGUUUUUCUUCUGUUAUUUUGCUGGGUACCCCUUAUUUUAUCAUCAGCACUUAUUUGACGACAGUUUUUGAUGUGUUCAGGAAUUUUCCUGUUGUGUUGGUUCACUUAUAUAACUUUUUUUUGUCUGAAAUACUUGAGUCGCUACAUCUGACAUGGCUAAUGUGUCCUUACAUUGUCAUACUUGAAGAGGGAGGUUGAACUGAACAUUCAUAGAAUGAUUCUUCGUGACAUUCAGGGAUGAACUGAUUGAUAGGAGCAUGACUAAGUAUCUCAAAGAAGCGAAAACAGGGAAGUUGGACAUCCAAGUUAUGGCCUCGAAUGGAUACCGACUGCUCUUAUAUCAAAGCGUGCCGUGAACGCUUACACACAGUUGAUGGCCAAGGGUACUCUCAAACCGUCCAGAGUGUCAAAUCUGUUGCUGUCUGGGAUGGGUGAAGACUGCCAUGGAAGGUUGUGCAGGCAGUAGUCUAGCCGACGAAGGUGCAGACAAGGGAUUUGGCUUGCAGUUUUACCUGGCCAACCAGUCACAGUAGCCUUGAGCAUCUGGAUGCAAUUUCAAGCUUUGUUGUUCAGCAGUUGUCCUUGCAUUUGGGUUUCUUUCGUGUACAUUGUCUAGAAGCAUACUGGAAAGAAUCUAGAUCCAAUUCUAGAAGAGCCAGCCGUCAGUCGUUAGUGGAUGAUGAUUGGUCAUAGUCAAAAAAUCUCAAGAACUUU